rnacentral:sRNA from 1 species
CACCGCCUGGGGAGUACGACCGCAAGGUUAAAACUCAAAUGAAUUGACGGGGACCCGCACAAGCAGUGGAGCAUGUGGUUUAAUUCGAAGAUACGCGCAGAACCUUACCAACACUUGACAUGUUCGUCGCGAACCUAAGAGAUUAGGUUUUUCAGUUUGGCUGGACGAAACACAGGUGCUGCAUGGCUGUCGUCAGCUCGUGUCGUGAGAUGUUGGGUUAAGUCCCGCAACGAGCGCAACCCUCACUUUUAGUUGCUACCAUUAAGUUGGGCACUCUAAAAGAACUGCCAGUGAUAAGCUGGAGGAAGGUGGGGAUGACGUCAAGUCCUCAUGGCCCUUACGUGUUGGGCUACACACGUGCUACAAUGGUAUUUACAAUGGGAUGCAAAGAGGCGACUCUAAGCGAAUCCCAAAAAGGUACCUCAGUUCGGAUUGUACUCUGCAACUCGAGUGCAUGAAGCUGGAAUUGCUAGUAAUCGCGGAUCAGCGCGCCGCGGUGAAUACGUUCCCGGGUCUUGUACACACCGCCCGUCACACCAUGGAAGUUGGUUACACCUUAAGGCAAAGCUUAAAACCUUUGACUACGGUACGAUCAGCGACUGGGGUGAAGUCGUAACAAGGUAGCCGUAGGGGAACCUGCGGCUGGAUCACCUCCUUUCUAAGGAAAUCGAAAAAUUUUUUUCGAUUUUAAAAAAAUCGGUAAUGUGACCGUCCUCAUUUCUCUUCUUUAAUAAUGUCUCUGAGUAAAAAUGUAAGGGGCCGGUAGCUCAGGUGGUUAGAGCGCACCCCUGAUAAGGGUGAGGUCGGAAGUUCGAGUCUUCCUCGGCCCACCAAUAGUCUAGGGGGAUUAGCUCAGCUGGGAGAGCGCCUGAUUUGCAUUCAGGAGGUCAGCGGUUCGAUCCCGCUAUCCUCCACCAAAAUUUGAGACAUUUAGCUUUUUUAAAUAGUGAAUAUUAUUAAUAUCAAUAUCUAUAUCCGAUUGUUUUCAUAUUUUUUAAUGGAAGCAAUCAAAACAAAAAUUUAAUUUAUUACAGAAAAGUUUUUUUCUG